rnacentral:rRNA from 1 species
UACGUAGGGUGCAAGCGUUAAUCGGAAUUACUGGGCGUAAAGCGUGCGCAGGCGGCUUUGCAAGACAGAUGUGAAAUCCCCGGGCUUAACCUGGGAACUGCAUUUGUGACUGCAUGGCUAGAGUGCGGCAGAGGGGGAUGGAAUUCCGCGUGUAGCAGUGAAGUGCGUAGAUAUGCGGAGGAACACCGAUGGCGAAGGCAAUCCCCUGGGCCUGCACUGACGCUCAUGCACGAAAGCGUGGGGAGCAAACAGG